rnacentral:rRNA from 1 species
CCAGUGUGAUUCGUCACACUAUCAUUAACUGAAUCCAUAGGUUAAUGAGGCGAACCGGGGGAACUGAAACAUCUAAGUACCCCGAGGAAAAGAAAUCAACCGAGAUUCCCCCAGUAGCGGCGAGCGAACGGGGAGGAGCCCAGAGCCUGAAUCAGCAUGUGUGUUAGUGGAAGCGUCUGGAAAGGCGCGCGAUACAGGGUGACAGCCCCGUACACAAAAGCGCAUGUGCUGUGAGCUCGAUGAGUAGGGCGGGACACGUGGUAUCCUGUCUGAAUAUGGGGGGACCAUCCUCCAAGGCUAAAUACUCCUGACUGACCGAUAGUGAACCAGUACCGUGAGGGAAAGGCGAAAAGAACCCCGGCGAGGGGAGUGAAAAAGAACCUGAAACCGUGUACGUACAAGCAGUGGGAGCACCCUUUGGGUGUGACUGCGUACCUUUUGUAUAAUGGGUCAGCGACUUAUAUUCUGUAGCAAGGUUAACCGAAUAGGGGAGCCGGAGGGAAACCGAGUCUUAACCGGGCGUUAAGUUGCAGGGUAUAGACCCGAAACCCGGUGAUCUAGCCAUGGGCAGGUUGAAGGUUGGGUAACACUAACUGGAGGACCGAACCGACUAAUGUUGAAAAAUUAGCGGAUGACCUGUGGCUGGGGGUGAAAGGCCAAUCAAACCGGGAGAUAGCUGGUUCUCCCCGAAAGCUAUUUAGGUAGCGCCUCGUGAAUUCAUCUCCGGGGGUAGAGCACUGUUUCGGCUAGGGGGCCAUCCCGGCUUACCAACCCGAUGCAAACUGCGAAUACCGGAGAAUGUUAUCACGGGAGACACACGGCGGGUGCUAACGUCCGUCGUGAAGAGGGAAACAACCCAGACCGCCAGCUAAGGUCCCAAAGUCAUGGUUAAGUGGGAAACGAUGUGGGAAGGCCCAGACAGCCAGGAUGUUGGCUUAGAAGCAGCCAUCAUUUAAAGAAAGCGUAAUAGCUCACUGGUCGAGUCGGCCUGCGCGGAAGAUGUAACGGGGCUAAACCAUGCACCGAAGCUGCGGCAGCGACACUGUGUGUUGUUGGGUAGGGGAGCGUUCUGUAAGCCUGUGAAGGUGUGUCGUGAGGCAUGCUGGAGGUAUCAGAAGUGCGAAUGCUGACAUAAGUAACGAUAAAGCGGGUGAAAAGCCCGCUCGCCGGAAGACCAAGGGUUCCUGUCCAACGUUAAUCGGGGCAGGGUGAGUCGACCCCUAAGGCGAGGCCGAAAGGCGUAGUCGAUGGGAAACGGGUUAAUAUUCCCGUACUUGGUGUUACUGCGAAGGGGGGACGGAGAAGGCUAUGUUGGCCGGG